AAGUCGUAACAAGGUAACCGUAGGUGAACCUGCGGUUGGAUCAUUACUGAAUACUCAUCAUCGGGGAGGGAACAAAAAAAGGCCCCACCUUAGCCGGUGACCCUUUUUCCCCCCCGGUGUAUGAUAUACACCCCCUUGUGAACCGUUUAUCGUAAUUUUGGCAGCCCUCCAUACAACGGGACCAGGGAGAAACCUUACUUCUGCUCCAUGCAAAUGGAACGGGGAUCUGUUUUCCUCCCUUUUCCCGUCUGGGCUGCCAGCAAACCAAAAAUAAAAACACCACGCUUGAUUUAUAUUUUUUGUACCAAAGCGAUUCAUUAUGUGAAACGCGUUUUUUAAAUAAAAAAAAACAACUUUUGACAACGGAUCUCUUGGCUCUC
rnacentral:misc_RNA from 1 species